GAUGAAGAACGUAGCGAAAUGCGAUAAGUAAUGUGAAUUGCAGAAUUCAGUGAAUCAUCGAAUCUUUGAACGCACAUUGCGCCCCUUGGUAUUCCAUGGGGCAUGCCUGUUCGAGCGUCAUUUGUACCUUCAAGCUCUGCUUGGUGUUGGGUGUUUGUCUCGCCUCUGCGCGUAGACUCGCCUCAAAACAAUUGGCAGCCGGCGUAUUGAUUUCGGAGCGCAGUACAUCUCGCGCUUUGCACUCAUAACGACGACGUCCAAAAGUACAUUUUUACACUCUUGACCUCGGAUCAGGUAGGGAUACCCGCUGAACUUAAGCAUAUCGAUAAGCGGAGGA
rnacentral:misc_RNA from 1 species